rnacentral:tRNA from 1 species
GAGGGUACAGCUCAGCGGUAGAGCACUUGUUUAGCAUGUGAGAGGUCCUGGGUUCGAUGCCCAGUACGUCCA